ACCUACGGGAGGCAGCAGUGGGGAAUAUUGGACAAUGGGCGCAAGCCUGAUCCAGCCAUGCCGCGUGGGUGAUGAAGGCCUUCGGGUUGUAAAGCCCUUUUGGCGGGGACGAUGAUGACGGUACCCGCAGAAUAAGCCCCGGCUAACUUCGUGCCAGCAGCCGCGGUAAGACGAAGGGGGCAAGCGUUGUUCGGAAUUACUGGGCGUAAAGGGCGCGUAGGCGGCCCGAUAAGUCAGCCGUGAAAGGCCUGGGCUCAACCUGGGAAUUGCGGUGGGGACGGGUGGGCUGGAGAGCGGGAGAGGAUGGUGGAAUUCCCAGUGUAGAGGUGAAAUUCGUAGAUAUUGGGAAGAACACCGGUGGCGAGGCGGCCAUCUGGACCGUAUCUGACGCUGAGGCGCGAAAGCGUGGGGAGCAAACAGGAUUAGAUACCCCAGUAGUCAU
rnacentral:rRNA from 1 species